UGCCCCUCUUUCUUUUGAAGAUCUACUUACAUCCUAUGGGUUUUACCCCUUCAUGUGGAUUAACCAAUGUCCAUACAUCAUUGAUCUUCAUGGACUUCAUUUUAGAUUUCAUGGCUUCUAGCUACUUAUCAGAGUUAGACCUCUAUAUUACAUCCAUAUAGGUGAUUGAAUUCUCAUUGUUCUCAUCGAGUUCAACUGGAUCACCGUUCUGGAUCAAAAAAUUAUAGUAUCUGUCCGACUGACAUAGUACUCUACUA
rnacentral:lncRNA from 1 species